AGAACGAACGCUGGCGGCGUGCCUAACACAUGCAAGUCGAACGAGAAAUCGGGCACUCAGGCAACUGAGUGCCGGAAAGUAAAGUGGCGCACGGGUGAGUAACACGUGGGUAACCUACCCCAGAAUCCGGGAUAACCUCGCGAAAGCGUUGCUAAUACCGGAUAUUGUCCUAUUGGUUGUGACCUUUGGGAUGAAAGGCAACCUCUUCAUGAAAGUUGCCGUUCAGGGAUGGGCCCGCGUACCAUUAGCUUGUUGGUGGGGUAACGGCUCACCAAGGCUACGAUGGUUAGCUGGCCUGAGAGGAUGAUCAGCCACACUGGAACUGAAACACGGUCCAGACUCCUACGGGAGGCAGCAGUGAGGAAUUUUGCGCAAUGGGGGAAACCCUGACGCAGCAACGCCGCGUGAGUGAAGAAGGCUUUCGGGUCGUAAAGCUCUGUCAAGUGGGAAAAAAGUCUGAUGAUUAAUAGUUGUCAGAUCUGAUGGUACCACUGGAGGAAGCACCGGCUAACUCCGUGCCAGCAGCCGCGGUAAUACGGAGGGUGCAAGCGUUGUUCGGAAUUACUGGGCGUAAAGGGCGUGCAGGCGGGUUGGUAAGUCAGAUGUGAAAGCCCUGGGCUCAACCCAGGAAGUGCAUUUGAAACUGCCAUCCUUGAGUAUGGGAGAGGAGAGUGGAAUUCCCAAUGUAGAGGUGAAAUUCGUAGAUAUUGGGAGGAACACCCGUGCAGUAAGGCGACUCUCUGGACCAAUACUGACGCUGAGACGCGAAAGCGUGGGGAGCAAACAGGAUUAGAUACCCUGGUAGUCCACGCUGUAAACGAUGAGAACUAGGUGUAGCGGGUAUUGACCC
rnacentral:rRNA from 1 species